UUUAUACUCCCUCCGUCCCAAAAUAAGUGACUCAAAGAUGACUCAUUAUUGUACUAACUUUAGUGCAAAGUAGAGUCAUUUUUGAAUCACUUAUUUUGGGACGGAGGGAGUAUUAU
rfam:Hordeum vulgare subsp. vulgare, WGS project CAJW01000000 data, contig: morex_contig_1297808